rnacentral:rRNA from 1 species
UAUUGGUCAAUGGACGCAAGUCUGAACCAGCCAUGCCGCGUGAAGGAUUAAGGCCCUCUGGGUUGUAAACUUCUUUUAUAGGGGAAGAAAUGUGACGGUUCUCCGUCACUUGACGGUACCCUGGGAAUAAGCACCGGCUAACUCCGUGCCAGCAGCCGCGGUAAUACGGAGGGUGCAAGCGUUAUCCGGAUUCACUGGGUUUAAAGGGUGCGUAGGUGGGUAUGUAAGUCAGUGGUGAAAUCCCCGAGCUUAACUUGGGAAAUGCCGUUGAUACUAUAUAUCUUGAACGUCGGAGAGGUAAGCGGAAUACGUCAUGUAGCGGUGAAAUGCUUAGCGAUGACAUAGACCACCAAGUGCGAAGGCAGCUUGCUAUGCUAUUAUUGACACUGAGGCACGAAAGCGUGUGUAGCAAACA